rnacentral:rRNA from 1 species
ACCAGACUCCUACGGGAGGCAGCAGUGGGGGAUAUUGCACAAUGGGGGGAACCCUGAUGCAGCGACGCCGCGCGGGUGAAGAAGCGCCUCGGCGCGUAAAGCCCUGUCAGCAGGGAAGAAAAUGACGGUACCUGAAGAAGAAGCCCCGGCUAACUACGUGCCAGCAGCCGCGGUAAUACGUAGGGGGCAAGCGUUAUCCGGAUUUACUGGGUGUAAAGGGGGCGCAGACGGCGAUGCAAGCCAGGAGUGAAAGCCCGGGGCCCAACCCCGGGACUGCUCUUGGAACUGCGUGGCUGGAGUGCAGGAGGGGCAGGCGGAAUUCCUGGUGUAGCGGUGAAAUGCGUAGAUAUCAGGAGGAACACCGGUGGCGAAGGCGGCCUGCUGGACUGCAACUGACGUUGAGGCCCGAAAGCGUGGGGAGCAAACAGGAUUAGAUACCCGAGUA